CCUACGGGGAGGCAGCAGUGGGGAAUAUUGGACAAUGGGGGAAACCCUGAUCCAGCGACGCCGCGUGGGUGAAGAAGGCCUGCGGGUUGUAAAGCCCUUUCGGUAGGGACGAAAGCCCUUGGAUUAAUAACCCAAGGGGUUGACUUAACCUACAUAAGAAGCACCGGCUAACUCUGUGCCAGCAGCCGCGGUAAUACAGAGGGUGCGAGCGUUAAUCGGAAUUACUGGGCGUAAAGCGCACGUAGGCGGCUUUGUAAGUCGGUUGUGAAAUCCCCGGGCUCAACCUGGGAACUGCAUCCGAAACUACAUUGCUAGAGUAUGGGAGAGGGAGGCGGAAUUUCCGGUGUAGCAGUGAAAUGCGUAGAUAUCGGAAGGAACAUCAGUGGCGAAGGCGGCCUCCUGGACCAAUACUGACGCUCAGGUGCGAAAGCGUGGGGAGCAAACAGGAUUAGAUACCCUGGUAGUCCACGCCCUAAACGAUGAGAACUGGAUGUCGGGAGGGUUUGCCUUCCGGUGUCGUAGCUAACGCGAUAAGUUCUCCGCCUGGGAAGUACGGCCGCAAGGUUGAAACUCAAAGGGAAUUGACGGG
rnacentral:rRNA from 1 species